AGAGGGAAGCAAGAUAGUGAUAUGGAGCAAAACCCUAAAAGCAACCUCAGUUCGGAUUGAAGGCUGAAAUUCGCCUUCAUGAAGCUGGAAUUGCUAGUAAUCGCGGAUCAGCAUGCCGCGGUGAAUACGUUCCCGGGCCUUGUACACACCGCCCGUCACACCAUGAGAGUCGGGAACACCCGAAGUCCGUAGCCUAACCGCAAGGGGGGCGCGGCCGAAGGUGGGUUCGAUAAUUGGGGUGAAGUCGUAACAAGGUAUC
rnacentral:rRNA from 1 species